CACGUAGGGGGCAAGCGUUUGUCCGGAUUUAUUGGGCGUAAAGGGCUCGUAGGCGGUUCGACAAGUCGGGUGUGAAACCUCCAGGCUCAACCUGGAGUCGCCGCUCGAAACUGUUGUGACUAGAGUCCGGUAGAGGAGCAUGGAAUUUGUGGUGUAGCGGUGGAAUGCGCAGAUAUCACAAGGAACACCAGUAGCGAAGGCGAUGCUCUGGGCCGGUACUGACGCUGAGGAGCGAAAGCAUGGGGAGCGAACAGG
rnacentral:rRNA from 1 species